rnacentral:lncRNA from 1 species
AGCUCAGUUGUUGUCUUCAUCACGUCCAAAUUUACGCCAUAUAUGUUCAACCAAAUCAUCUUUGAGUUGUUGAUGCAUUUGUCUAUCAUGAAUUCUUGUUCGAGCACCCAUCAUAUUGACGAUAUUUGUAGGGAUAUUUGUAGUAUACAUGAGAUCCACAUGUGAACUUCUGUUGUCCUUGGCUUGUUGGAACUCUGAAACAUCAAAUUGAGUGUAUCCAUCUCGUUCGUCUUCCACUAUCAUAUUAUGGAGGAUGAUGCAUGCUCUCAUAAUCUUCCCAAUUUUGACUUUAUCCCAAAAAGUGCAGGAUUUUUAACAAUGGCAAAGCGAGCUUGAAAGACUCCAAAAGCACGCUCGACAUCUUUUUGGACAGCUUCUUGAUGUUGAGCAAAUAAAACCGCUUUCGGACCUUGCGGUAUUUGAAUGGAUUGGAUAAAAGUUGCCCAUUUCGGAUAAAUAUCAUCGGUGAGAUAGUAAGCCACAUGGUACUCUCUUCCAUUCACAGAGUAUGUGACUUGCAGAGCUUGACCAUUAAUUACGUCAUCAAAAACAUGUGAGCGAUCAAGAACAUUGAUAUCAUAUAAGGUACCUGGAGGUCCAAAAAACGCAUGUCAUAUCCAUAGAUCAUACGAAGCAACCGCCUCUAAAACGAUUGUGGGUUUUCUCGAACCACGUGAAUAUUGAUUUUUCCAAGUGGUGGGACAAUUCUUCAAUUCCCAGUGCAUACAGUCGAUACUUCCAAUCAUCCCGGGAAAUCCACAAUGCUCUCCAAUAUCAAGUAGACAUUGAAGAUCAGCCGGUAUUGAUCUUCUCAGGUAUUAAUCGCCGAAUAAAUAUAUUAUUCAUUCCACAAAAUUUUCCAAACAUGAACGAGUUGUAGUUUCACCGAGCCAGAGGUAUUCGUCGACCGUGUCAGCCGCACUACCAUAUGCCAAGACACGAAUGGCUGAUGUACACCUUUGGAGUGAUGAGAGACCAACCCUUCCAAGACCAUCUUUCUUUGGGCGAAAGAAGUGAAUUUCGUUGGAGAUACGAUCAACAAUGUGCAUGAACAAUGUCUUGUUCAUUCUAAAACGUCGUUGGAAAAAAAAUUUCAGGAUACAUUGGAGUUUCACUGAAAUAAUCAUUCCAUAAACGUACAUGACCUUUUUCACGAUUUCUUUCGAUAUAAGC